rnacentral:rRNA from 1 species
CCUACGGGAGGCAGCAGUGGGGAAUAUUGGGCAAUGGAGGCAACUCUGACCCAGCAACGCCGCGUGAAUGAUGAAGGUCUUCGGAUUGUAAAGUUCUGUGAUGGGGGAUGAACACAAUGACGGUACCCCAAUAGCAAGCCACGGCUAACUACGUGCCAGCAGCCGCGGUAAUACGUAGGUGGCAAGCGUUAUCCGGAAUGACUGGGCGCAAAGGGUGCGCAGGUGGUUUAGUAAGCUAGCGGUGUAAUUCCGGGGCUCAACCUCGGCGCUACCGCCAAAACUAGUAGACUAGAGUGCAGGAGGGGUAAGUGGAAUUCCUAGUGUAGCGGUGGAAUGCGUAGAGAUUAGGAGGAACAUCAGGGGCGAAGGCGACUUACUGGACUAUAACUGACGCUGAGGCACGAAAGCGUGGGGAGCAAACAGGAUUAGAUACCCCAGUAGUC